CCUACGGGUGGCAGCAGUGGGGAAUAUUGCACAAUGGGGGAAACCCUGAUGCAGCGACGCCGCGUGAGUGAAGAAGUAAUUCGUUACGUAAAGCUCUAUCAGCAGGGAAGAAACACUGACCUUACGGUCAGCAGACGGUACCUGAGUAAGAAGCACCGGCUAACUACGUGCCAGCAGCCGCGGUAAUACGUAGGGGGCAAGCGUUAUCCGGAUUUACGGGGUGUAAGGGGAGCGUAGACGGCGGAACAAGUCAGAAGGGAAAACCCGGGGCUCAACCCUGGGAGUGCUUUUGAAACUGUUUGGCUGGAGUGCAGGAGAGGUAGGCGGAAUUCCUGGUGUAGCGGUGAAAUGCGUAGAUAUUAGGAGGAACACCAGUGGCGAAGGCGGCUUACUGGACUGUAACUGACGUUGAGGCUCGAAAGCGUGGGGAGCAAACAGGAUUAGAUACCCCGGUAGUC
rnacentral:rRNA from 1 species